UUAAACCGCUCCCGGGAACGCUCGGCAUUCCUCUCCUCCCGCGCCGCCCCCUCGGGAGAAACCACGGCCGGAUCCAGCCGUUCUCCGGCGGCGUGUUCCCUGUGCCCGGAGCCCCGCCGGUGGCGACCCCUGCCCUGUGCAGCGGCGCAGCCCCCGCACGGCGACCGGGCCGCGGCGGGGUCCGUGCGGGGCUCGGCCGGGCCGGGCCCGACCCUGCGGGACCGCGAGCCAGGGGCCCCCCUGCCCUGCACGCCCGCGGCUGGUCAGCUUGAGAAGAGGAAAGGAGUGGCAGGUCAUUCCCUAGCACAGAUAUGCAGUGCUUGAUGGCAGAGGGGAGCAGCAAGAGAUCUUAUUACUGACUGUCAAAGAAUUUGGAUUGACUUGCACGAGUCUCUCUACUGGUCCUGUCAACUGCAAGUCAAGCAGAAAAUGAAUCUACAGCUCUAAGCAGCAUACUGGGAGUUAUUAAUAAACAUCAGGCUGCUGCUAAGAAAAUGAACUUAAAUGAAAUAUCAUUAGGAGCUGAGUCAUUCCACCAACACUUCUGCAUGUUGUUUCCAGCUGCAGCCUGGAGAGAGACCUGGGCAAUUCCACUGUGUUUCAUUCUGGCUCUGGUAGGAACUGGCAGCGUUCACAGGCAGAAGAUGGACUCUUGUCACCUCCACUAGAACAGAGACCUUCUCAGGCCCAGGCAGCAGAGACAUUUUCAAAUUGAAGUUGCUUUUCCUGACUGCAUAGCUCCAGGAACAGUUCUAUACAAAAGCAGCAGUACUAGGAGGAUCUUAUUUUUCAGGAUUAUUCUGUGAAGGAAUACUUGAGGGUUUGGUAGGUUUUGGGAGAGAAAACAUGGAAAAUGUAUGACUGUUGCAUUGUCAUGCCCAACUGAAUUGCUUAAUUCUGCUCUGAAAAAUAGUAUGUCAAAUAUCAAUUACAAUUUUGUUUUGCCUUUUCCUUCUGAUAAGGAGUGUAUGCACUGUUUAUUCAGGAGUUAGGGUUCAUGUGCCAUUUGCCAAUAAAUUUUAACCUUUGAGAUACUUUAUC